GGAAUUGAAUCUGAUAUCAAUCUUUGUUUUUGGGGGCGGGUUUGAAUUUUAUGUGAAACAGAGUGAAGAUGGAAGUAGAUGUUCCAGUAUCCGUAGCGUAUAAUUUCUACUUGGAUCGUGAAUCUUUUCCUAAAUGGAUGCCUUUUAUUUCAUCCGUAGAGGUGUUAAAAGACAAGCCUGAUCUUUCACGUUGGUCACUCAAGUACGAUGCUUUUGGUCAAGAUUCACGAUCAAUUGAUUAUGGGAGCUUUGAGUUUGUAAAAGCUGCGUCAUUAGACAAUGAAAUCCAGUUCGUAGAAACAACUAGUAGUGAUGUCGCCAAGCUUCUCUUCCCUGACCUUAAAACCAACAAUGUGUUUGUUGGAUUGGUUAAAACUGAGGCUGAGAGGUACACUGCAUACGAACGAAAACGGUAGUGGGUUUUAUGCUAACAGUGGUGCUGCUGGUUUGGGGUUUGGAUUUGGUCAGCCGAAUCAAAACAGAAUAUCUUUCAACGGCAACCAUGAUAUUAUGAUCUUCAAUCAAGCACCUGGUUCAGGCCUCAAAGUGGGUGGAAAAAUGCAACAGCAGCAGAAACCACAUCAGCAGCAGCAGCACCCAUAUCAGACGAGGAAGAAGAAGCAAUACGGGCCUGGAGAAGGUUGUUGAGAGAAGGCAAAAGAGAAUGAUCAAGAAUCGUGAAUCAGCUGCUAGAUCAAGAGCUCGAAAACAGGCUUAUACCUUGGAACUGGAAGCCGAGAUUGAAAGUCUUAAGCAACUGAAUCAAGAUUUGCAGAAAAAACAGGAGCCUUGCCGUUCGACUCAGCUUGCAGCUAUGAAAAUCGCUAAAGCUUCAGGGAGUCUCUAGUCUUAUGACCCGAAUUUGAGAUUGUCGUUGUGGCCAUCAGAAGAUGCUGCAAGGAAAGAGAUCAUGAGUAUUUGGAACUUAGCAGAUGUGAUAAAGAUCAGUGAGGACGAGAUCACAUUCUUGACU